rnacentral:lncRNA from 1 species
AAGAACCUCUGGUAAGCAGUGCUGCGUUAAUGAUUUUAUUGAAACCUGGUUUGAUAAGAGUAAAAGAAAAAUAACAUCAUGUCCCUAAUGUUUUCAGGGUAUAAUUGUAAUGUCUUAUCAUUUAUCUGUCAUGCAAACCUAUGUACACAAGUCAUUUGAUACCCUGUCACCCCCAGAGAAGAUUUAAUUCACCUUAGCUCCAUUGAAAAUCAUAUAUUUUAGUGGCAAGAUACUCAGUAAAAGGUUUUCAAAACAUUAACUUGGUAAUAACAAAAAAGUAGUAAAUUAUGAACUAUGGUCUCAAACCACAGUGCUUUGGUUUUCCCCUUUUUGUGUGAGCAAAUCAGACAGACUGGGAUUCAGAAAAGCAAGUGUAAUACCAGAAUUCUCCCUCCUAAUUUAAUUUAACUACUUCUCUCUGAAACGUCUUAGGUACUUUUUUAGUAGGGAAGAUUUUCCUGGGUCUAAGUGCUUUGUCUGAUGGUUUUUUUAAGUAUUAUUUCAGCUUCAUUCCCUGGAUAAAUGGAAUUUUUCCAGUGUAAGU